CUCUUAGCGAUCUUAAUUGUAGGUUGUAUGAAUAAAUAAAUACAUUUCAUUUUUUCUUCUGUUAUUGCCAGGGAUGGAGUUUUAUUUAACAUUCAAAGUUCAUUUAUGUUCUUGGCUAUCGGCCUUGUCUAAUUACACAACUGCUUCAAUCUCGCUAUUUCUAAGAGCUUUUCAGAUUGAACUCAAUUAGUUUUUAAUGGAUACAUGUUGUUUGAUGGUUUUUAAGAGAUUACUUGCGUUUUACCGCGUACAUACUUAUGUACAUAUGUACAUACAUAUGUAAGUUGCGUCUGCUAAACAUUGUUUGAAACCAGUUCGACUAAUAAAUCGGCUUUUAAUUGGUUUUUAAGACUGAUUUUACAACUUUUUAGCUUAAGCUUAAUGUCUGGUAACUAUUUAUAUUAAAAAUAGAUGGGUUACAAUUUUGUCGAGAAGUCAAAACCAACUAAUUUUCUUGUUGUUUAAUAUUUCAAUCGCACAAUCGAGCUGCUCUUUGACCUACCCUUAGGAAAUCACAAUUUAUGACUCCAGACUUCAGAGAUACGAGCAAACUACGUAUGUGCAUUUGAGAUGUGGGCGCCAGUCGUUGUGCAAUUCGCAUGCCUAAGCUACCUGGUGCACACCACGCGGUGGCCUGAUCCCGUUCCCCACAUCAGUCAUCCCCCCAGCGGAAAGCCAACAAUGUACAACAACUUGUAGAAUGGCCAUAACAAUUAUAAAACACGAACACGAGCCGAUGCUGCUAGAGAGCGAGGGAGUAGGGCUGAGGAGUGGGAGCACGUGGGGGAGACUGAGCUGCGGUUGACUACUUGGGUUACAGUGGUGUUUGGAGAAUUCUGCAUUGUGCAGCUUUCCCGGUUCCUCACCCGUUUAUCCGAGUUGCGGCUGCCAAUAAGCGGCUGCCAAUGUGUCGAGUAACUCGGCUGCGGCUUUGGAGGUGACAACAACUGGCAGCUAAGC
rnacentral:lncRNA from 1 species